rnacentral:rRNA from 1 species
AGAAUCAACGCUGGCGGCGUGCCUAACACAUGCAAGUCGAACGAGAAAGUGGAGCAAUCCAUGAGUAAAGUGGCGCACGGGUGAGUAACACGUGACUAACCUACCUUUUAGUGGGGGAUAACCUAGGGAAACCUGGGCUAAUACCGCAUAACACUUACGAGUCAAAGCAGCAAUGCGCUGAAAGAGGGGGUCGCGGCCGAUUAGCUAGUUGGCGGGGUAAUGGCCCACCAAGGCAGUGAUCGGUAUCCGGCCCGAGAGGGCGCACGGACACACUGGAACUGAAACACGGUCCAGACUCCUACGGGAGGCAGCAGUGGGGAAUUUUGCGCAAUGGGGGAAACCCUGACGCAGCAACGCCGCGUGGAGGAUGAAGUCCCUUGGGACGUAAACUCCUUUCGAUCGGGACGAUAAUGACGGUACCGGAAGAAGAAGCCCCGGCUAACUUCGUGCCAGCAGCCGC